ACGUCGUCCGUUGCUUGACCCGUCUAGUAACACGGACCAAGGAGUCUGGCUCGCGCGCGAGUGCCGAGGGUUGUUCACGAAUGUACGAUCCAUCGUCGGUGUUAUCGCCGAAGACAACAUGCACACACCCUUGCGCGAAGUGAAAGCGGGAAGUUAGAAUGCAAAAACAUAACAUCCAUCCGAUUCGCGUCCCCCCGGACGCGAUGAGGUGAGAAUUCCGUAGCGCGCGGGUCGGUACCCGAAAGAUGGUGAACUAUGCCCGAGCAGGGCGAAGCCGGGGGAAACUCCGGUGGAGGCUCGCAGCGAUUCUGACGUGCAAAUCGAUCGUCGAACUCGGGUAUAGGGGCGAAAGACUAAUCGAACCAUCUAGUAGCUGGUUCCCUCCGAAAUUUCCCUCAGGAUAGCUGCAACUUGAACUUUUUUUUUAAAUCGACUGCCAGUUGCAUGUGGUAGAGUGAAUGAUUAGGGGAAUCGCCCGGACCGGGCGUCAAAACCUCGGCCCGGGCGGGUCACGGGGACCUGAGCUGUCCUCGUCCCAUUCUCAAACUUCGAACGCGUGCGAUGGGACGGGGGUCGGCGGCGGCCGCGGCACUCGCUGCCGCAGCCCCCUCCGAUCCUCCCACCCCUGGAAUGGCUUACAGUUGCUAGUGGGCCAGCCCGGGUAAGCUGGGCUGGCGAUGCGGGAUGAACCGAACGUCGCGUUAAAGUGCCCAACUCCCCGCUCUCAGAUCCCACAAAAGGUGUCGGUUCAUAGUCACAGCAGGACGGUGGCCACGGAAGUCGGAAUCCGCUAAGGAGUGUGUAACAACUCACCUGCCGAAUGAACCGGCCCUGAAAAUGGAUGGCGCUCAAGCGGGGGACUUAUACGUCGACCAUCACCCCGUCCUUCCCCCCAUCGGCGGGGACGGGCGGUGAGGGGUGAUGAGUAGGAGGGCGCGGGGUUCGCGUCGAAGCGCCACGCGCAAGCGGGCGUGGAGCGCACUCCGGUGCAGAUCUUGGUGGUAGUAGCAAAUAUUCGAAAGAGAAUUACACUUCGAAGGCCGAAGCGGAGAAAGGUUCCGCGCGAACAUCAGUUGUGCGCGGGUUAGUCGAUCCUGAGAGAUAGGUUAACGUUCCGUUAUCAUUCCGGUCGCCUAUUCAUGCGCGACCGUGAUCGAAAGGGAAAGGGACUUAAAUUUCUCUACCUCGAUCCGUCCCGCAAGCGUGGCGACACUAUCCUGGCCGUAGGAGACGCCGUCGCUGGCCCGGGCGCGAGUUAUCGUCUCGCGUUAAAUACCAUAUCAUCGACCGUGCUCCCACGUAAUGUGUAUUCGAUUAUCUUACGGUGGCGAUGCCGCGUGCAAUGUGCGAAUCCUACGAACCGCAUCAAGCGGCGAAUAGCACCCGACCCCGUCUUCCCCCGUUGCCUCCUUCGGGAGGACUGCGGGGGUCGUUCGAUGGUCGGCGAUUCGCGGGUUAAAGAGUGCUUCACCUGUUCUUACGGGAACGGUGCCUACGAAGCAUCCCGAGCGCUCGCGACGGCCCUUGAAAAUCCUACGCGUCGCAAUCCAAUCCCUCCCCGCCGCUGCCUGUGCAAAUGGGCGGCGGUGGGGCGGUGUACCGGGACGGAUCCGAGUUCGUACUGAUCACCGCAUCAGGUCUCCGAGGUGAACAGCCUCUGGUCGAUAGGAUAACGCAGGUAAGGGAAGUCGGCAAAAUGGAUCCGUAACUUCGGGAUAAGGAUUGGCUCUGAAUGUGACGCCCGCAUCUCCCCCAUCCAGGGUCUCCAGCACUCCUCCGGGAGCGGCAGGGGAUCCGGGACGGAGGAUGCGGCAUGCCACAAAUUCGGAACUGGAGCGGACGAGGGGAAUCCGACUGUUUAAUUAAAACAAAGCAUCGCGACGUCGAGAGAUCGAUCUACCGCGAUGUGAUUUCUGCCCAGUGCCACGAAUGUCAAAGUGAAGAAAUUCGACCAAGCGCGGGUAAACGGCGGGAGUAACUAUGACUCUCUUAAGGUAGCCAAAUGCCUCGUCAUCUAACUAGUGACGCGCAUGAAUGGAUUAAUGAGAUUCCCACUGUCCCUACCUGCAGCCUAGCGAACCCACAGCCAAGGGAACGGGCUUGGAAAAAUCAGCGGGGAAAGAAGACCCUGUUGAGCUUGACUCUAGUCCGACGUUGUGAAAUGACUUAUGAGGUGUAGAAUAAGUGGGAGCUUCGGCGCACAUGAAAUACCACUACUCGUAAUGUUGUUUUACUUAUUCCGUGACGUAGCGUCCAGUCGUCCUCGCGGGCGCCUGGUUCUAGAUUUAAGCCGCUUCGUGCGGUGAGCUACGCGGGAGACAACGUCAGGUGGGGAGUUUGGCUGGGGCGGCACAUCUGUUAAACGAUAACACAGGUGUCCCAAGGUCAGCUCAGCGAGAACGGAAAUCUCGCGCAGAGCAGAAGGGCAAAAGCUGGACCUUGACCCGCGCUCCCAGUACGAGCGCGGUUCGCGAAAGCGAGGCCUACCGAUCCUUUAGCGGGCGGCCGGCGCACCCCCCUCCCUGCCUCCGGGUGCGGAGGGACGGUGUGCCGCCGCACGACCAGGAAAAUGGCCCUCCGCAAGGUGGGCUCAAUUGGUGCUAGAGGUGACAGAAAAGUUACCACAGGGAUAACUGGCUUGUGGCAGCCAAGCGUUCGUAGCGACGUUGCUUUUUGAUUCUUCGAUGUCGGCUCUUCCUAUCAUUGCGUCGCAGAAGGCGCCAAGUGUAGGAUUGUUCACCCACCAACAGGGAACGUGAGCUGGGUUUAGACCGUCGUGAGACAGGUUAGUUUUAUCCUACUGAUGACAGGGGAACGCACCACGGUGCACCAUUCGCGGGACAGCAAUCCGACUCAGUACGAGAGGAACCGUCGGUUCGGGCCUCUGGUUUACGGGACUGGUCGAUCGGCCAGCGUCCCGACGCUACCGCCCGCGGGAUUACGGCUGAACGCCUCUAAGCCGGAAUCCAGGCUGAGAUAUGUUUCGUUACGCGGACUUUGUUCUGAACGUCUCGGGGUUCAUUUGCAACGGGUACGAAGAACGGUCGUCGCCACUCCUGUGCGCGGCGCAUUUCCGUUGAAUCCAUCGCGGGGAACCGAUUCGGGUCCCCGCACGCAAUGCGCAACUGCCGCAAGUAACAUUGCUGCAGGAGCGGGAUCCCAGCAGCCGAAGGUUGUAUACGACUUCCACCACAAUUUGCGACGGGGGAUUGUAAGCACGAGAGCGGAUCCGUAUCUGCGAUCUGUUGAGAUUGCCCC
rnacentral:rRNA from 12 species